CCUACGGGAGGCAGCAGUGGGGAAUUUUGGACAAUGGGCGCAAGCCUGAUCCAGCAAUGCCGCGUGAGUGAAGAAGGCCUUCGGGUUGUAAAGCUCUUUUGUCAGGGAAGAAACGGUGGUUCCUAAUACGGACUACUAAUGACGGUACCUGAAGAAUAAGCACCGGCUAACUACGUGCCAGCAGCCGCGGUAAUACGUAGGGUGCAAGCGUUAAUCGGAAUUACUGGGCGUAAAGCGUGCGCAGGCGGUUAUAUAAGUCAGAUGUGAAAUCCCCGGGCUCAACCUGGGAACUGCAUUUGAGACUGUAUGGCUAGAGUGUGUCAGAGGGGGGUAGAAUUCCACGUGUAGCAGUGAAAUGCGUAGAUAUGUGGAGGAAUACCGAUGGCGAAGGCAGCCCCCUGGGAUAACACUGACGCUCAUGCACGAAAGCGUGGGGAGCAAACAGGAUUAGAUACCCUGGUAGUCCACGCCCUAAACGAUGUCUACUAGUUGUCGGGACUUAAUUGUCUUGGUAACGCAGCUAACGCGUGAAGUAGACCGCCUGGGGAGUACGGUCGCAAGAUUAAAACNCAAAGGAAUUGACGG
rnacentral:rRNA from 1 species